GGAAGGAAGGAAGGAAGGAAGGAAGGAAGGAAGGAAGGAAGGAAGGAAGGAAGGACCAGUUUACAGAGCUGACAAGCUAUUCACUCAUCCAGACAUCAGGAAGUAGCUGUGGAACAUUAUUCUAAUCAUGUGGGUAUUGCUUAAUCCUCUGAUUGAACCUGAAUAAAUCUCUCUAGAUGCCCUGCCAAUCUGUUUGGGAUUUGCAAUCUGGAAAGGCCCUCAAAUGCAAAUUAAAGUAAUUUUCUAUCUGAAAAAAAACCAUCUACCUCUCUCAGUAACAUCUAUUACUAUGUUCCAAGGUUGCAUAAUUGUGUUCAAAUUUAAAAGGCAAUGAAGUAUUUUCCAUACUUGAAGGAAUGCGUAUCAUCUGCAAAGUGGAUACUGAGUAAGAGAAGCACUCUACUAUAGGUUUGUAACUCUAGGUAUAGGUUACUUCCUCAGAACUUCUGAAGAUUAAUAACACUUUCAAUGAGCUUUGCAUCAAUGCCUUGAAGCCUGUCAAGUUGAAAUUUCAAUCACUGAGAUAGAAAACUCUCCUAAAUAACAGGUACUUUACCUACAAAAAGUCAUGUUUGAAUCAGAAACUGUUACAUCAAGCUGAAGAUAUUUCAAGUGGGAUAUAAAUGUUAGAGAGUAAGAAGUAGUCUGACACAGACAAGAUGCAGCUUCUCUAGAUCAACUACUACAUCCUAAAUUUGAGAAAAUAAGCUAUUUGUAAGAAUGGUGUUUAGCAAUGCCAUCUAUAAUCUGGAAAGAAAAUGCAAAGCAGUUGAUGGUUUAAAACGAAGAAAUGCAAAAAGAAUUGACAGAGACAUAAUGUCUGAUGGUGUGAAGAAAACAACCUCUUUCUCAGAGUCAUCUCAUUUAAGUAGGAGAGUUUAAAUCAAUUAAAGAAAGGAUAUUAAGAGAGGCAUGAACUGUGAACGUGGGCGAGUUGGAGAAAGCAGUGAAGAAGGACUCAGAAUUCCUCAAAUAACUCAGCACUGUAGUGGUGAAGAUCUCAGUGCACUACUGUGUUGUCCAGUGGUGCAGAAAGAUUGAAAGAGUAGAAGCAUGAAGGUCACUUAUUAUUUUAUACGAUAUUAAUGAGACCAGUUCUGGGAUGUUGAAUCAAAUUCCAUGUCUGAGUUUUAAAAGGACAUUAAAGCAUUUGGAAAGGUACUGAACAAAGCCACUAAACCAUGACCUGAGAGUUAGGGAAAUUUGCUUCAAGUAAGAGACUUUAGGAGCUUAAUCUUCUUAGUUUAUCAAAAAGAAAAAUGGAAAAAAUAGCUUGCUUGAAGUUAUAAAUAUCUCAAGGCAGCAGAAAAUGCUGGACAUUUACCUAAAGAAUAAAGGCAGAAGAAAAACCAAUGAGAGUUGGACAAAUUCAAAUAGGAAUUUGGUCACACUAUUUAAUAACUUAUCAGAAGAUCAGAAUGUACCAACUAAGGCAAUACAGCUUUCUGGAAGAAAGAAUUUAAUAAAAUAUAAGGUAUUGUUCUUCAUAUAUGGCUAGCUUGGUGCACAGGAAUGAGUUCUGAUAUAUAGAAAAGCAGGCUAAAUUCAAAUUAAACAUUACAAAUCUCAUGCAGAAAUCUUCAGACUGUCAAAAGGCACUUGAUUUACUUGAGGAGCUUAAGGAAGGAAAGCAAUGGGCAUACUUCCAGGUGUGAAAUGAUGUCUUCUCAGGGUCCUUCUACACAGGGGUUGGGUUGCGGGCUUGCAGUUACUGUAAUGAGGUUUGAAAGUUACAGCUGUAAUGUUGGCUUAUCUUGCUCAAUUCCUUUCACAGCUGGAUAUUUGACUUACUAAGCAGUUGUAUGAGCAUCAGCUCCUUGCACAGUAGGAACUUGAGCUCCGGAAUGGAAAGCGUACUUGAGCUGCCCAUAAACUAGAAGAAGCUUAAAGAAUCAGAGGUUGACCACAACUAGGAAAAAGAGAGGCAAAUAUUCUGUCUAUGACACGCACCUGCAAAGAAUAAAGAAUUGUAAGCUUAACUAUAACAUUGCCAUGAAAAAAAAUGGAUGUGAAGUUGCCAGGAAUAAAUUUAGAUCAAAAUUAAAAUACUUUCAACCACUGAAACACUUCACUUAUGGAAUAGCUUAACACUUUGAGCAGAGAUAGAUAGCCCUGGGUGUUUCAAGGUGGAUCUAGGCCUCAGGUUGCUGUAACAUGUAUGACUGUGAUUGCAGGUGGGGGGAUUCAGCUAUUUUUUAAUCCUCUGCUGAGAAUAUGUUUACAUUAUUAUUGAUUCUUUUAUGUUUUUAAAAUAUUUGCUGCUACAGAAGUCUGAAACAAAAUAUUGUUAACACAGCUAUGCAGCCAGAGCAUCAAAAUCUGCAGAAUUUAAAUGGGGGGUCUCAUCUAUCAGCUGGCAAUUUAGCUGCCAAGAUAAAGCAUGGGUCAUCAAUCUGUGCUCCUGGAAUGUCUAUUUAAAGUAGGAAUGUUUGUGAGAGAACAUCUUUCUCUUCUCUUCCUCCAAAAUAAAAUUAUUGGAAAAAACUCUUCGAAGGGCAUGUACAAUCCCCACAAAUGUUUCCUUCUCUAAAACAUUUAAGGCUGAAAAAGUCAGAUUGCUUUCUCAUGUCUUUUUUUUUUCUGAAGAGCUACUGCGUUCUACCUGCAAGUUGCGUCUAUCUAUCCUAACCUUCUGCACAUUUUUACCAAAGCACAAACGAGGAAAAGAAACUUUACAUAUGAAUGUGCUUUAUACAAACUAUAUUUUAAAAAACAUAUUUUCAAAUGUAAUUUCAGGCCUACUACAUUUGAGACUUAUAAUUUUUGUACUGUAGAAAGUGCUGUUUUUUACUGAUUUCCCUCAUUUAAACAUUCAUCUUCAAUGUGGGUUAUUAAAAAAAAAUGUUUUCAGUGUGUGGUUUCAGCCUUGAAAAAUUUAUAUUUGUUUGAAAAUAUUGAAGAAAUACAGUAAUGGACUACCACCAGCAUUUCUAUAAAAAAAAUUGUAUCACUCCAGAAGGGCUUAAUAAGAACAGUAUAGACAAAAGAGAAGGAAGAAAUUACAUCUUACACCAUUUGCUGAGUCUUCGUGUUUUGUUGCUGGUACAGGGAGGUUACAGAGAUAAAGAAAGAAUAUGGUAUGCUGUAAUUAUACCUUCCACUGGAAGCUUCCUAGAGAGAUGUUUCCAUGUCCAGUUUAGGACAAUCCACUCAUUUAUCCAAAUUAGCCUGUGUGUAGUCUCCAGAUUCUCACAGACUUGCCUUUGAACAAAAUUGAUACAAAUUAUCUUUGAAUUAUAUGGUAAGUUCAUUUUCUGCCUUCCAUACAUAAACUACUGAUGCACUCUUUCUUGAAAAUUUUACAUCAACACCAGUCGUUGGGGAUCCUUUUCAUCUGAUCAUAAGCUACUAAUUUUGUCUAAAACAUGCUCCAUUUUAGUCAUUUACAGAGGUAGAAUGUUUGCAUUUCAUUUUACAAUGCUACAGUGCCACUACACACGUUGUGAUGGUCCAGUAGAUCUUUCAUUUCAUUAUUUAACUUAUUCUCUGAGACAGCAAGUGUGGCCAAACCCCUGGAGCAAUUGGAUGUUGUGUUUGUGGUCCAUUCUCUCCAGCUGAUGUUUGAAUGUUUUUAAUGCACUUCAUAUGAAAAUGUUUCCCAGAGAAAUUCAAAGAAAGUAAUUACACCCUUAGAAGGAAAGCAAAAACUGCAGCCAAUGUGUAUUUAAUUGCAUCUCACAUACAUUACUACACAAAAGCAUUUCAGUAAAUUAGUCUAGUGCUAC